GAUGAACGCUAGCGGAAGGCUUAAUACAUGCAAGUCGAGCGGUAGAUAAGACUUCGGUUUUAUUGAGAGCGGCGCACGGGUGAGUAACGCGUACAUGACCUACCCUUAAGAAAGGAAUAGCCCUGGGAAACUGGGAUUAAUGCCUUAUAGUAUUACUGAUGUUAGAGAUUGGUAAUUAAAGUUUCGGCGCUUAAGGAUGGAUGUGCGUCUGAUUAGCUAGUUGGUAAGGUAACGGCUUACCAAGGCGACGAUCAGUAGGGGGCGUGAGAGCGUGAUCCCCCACACGGGUACUGAGACACGGACCCG
rnacentral:rRNA from 1 species